rnacentral:rRNA from 1 species
UACCCGCAGCCCGAGUGGUGGUCAUUAUUAUUGAGCCUAAAGCGUCCGUAGCCGGACUCGUAAAUCCUUGGGUAAAUCGGGCAGCUUAACUGUCCGAAUUCCGAGGAGACUGCGAGUCUUGGGACCGGGAGAGGUCAGAGGUACUCCAGGGGUAAGGGCUAAAUCUUGUAAUCCUUGGGGGACCACCAGUGGCGAAGGCGUCUGACUAGAACGGAUCCGACGGUAAGGGACGAAACCCUGGGGCGCAAACGGG